rnacentral:misc_RNA from 1 species
CGUAUUGGGAUUCGCAAACGAGGUAACUCUUCGCCCUCUGCUAGUUAGUGUCCGUUUUAUUUGCUCUUCUCACAGUUCUAUCACUCACUUUAGGGGACACUUAUUGCUCGUCUGGCAUUAUCAGUUGAUUGUUUUGGUGGUAUAUUGUAUACAAUGAUGGGAAUGUUUUUCAAUCACAAGGUCUUCAUUUGAAUUGCUCAAGUUUAAAAUUUUGUUGAGCCAUUUAUUUUUUUCUCUCUUCUGAAUUCAAAUUUCAUAUUUUCCCCCUUUUGGGGCAGGGGGAGGGAUUAGUUCAUAUUACGGUGGUUCUUGGGAGCUGAUGAGACGCUGGGUCCCGGUGUAGUUAAAGAAGUUGUCGGUGAAAGUUGCAGUGCCUUUGUCC